rnacentral:ncRNA from 1 species
AAUCUCUGCUAGGGGUGCUUUAUAUUGCUGAAAGGAACAUCAUGUUCCAACCCUUUGAACCUGAUCUAGUUAAUACUAGCGUAGGGAAGCCAGUGAGUCACUUUA